GAAGACGGCCAUAAUAGGUUGGAAAUACCUGUUACCAUUCCGAACACAGAAGUUAAGCUUCCUAUGCUGUUUGUUUUAGUGGCCGAUAAGCUGCGAAGCAUCAGUGCUGUCUUCU
rnacentral:rRNA from 1 species